rnacentral:rRNA from 1 species
CACGUAGGGUGCGAGCGUUGUCCGGAAUUAUUGGGCGUAAAGAGCUCGUAGGCGGUGUGUCGCGUCGGCCGUGAAAACCUGCAGCUUAACUGUGGGCUUGCGGUCGAUACGGGCAUCACUGGAGUUCGGCAGGGGAGACUGGAAUUCCUGGUGUAGCGGUGAAAUGCGCAGAUAUCAGGAGGAACACCGGUGGCGAAGGCGGGUCUCUGGGCAUUUCCUGACGCUGAGGCGCGAAAGCGUGGGGAGCAAACGGG